rnacentral:rRNA from 1 species
AUUGAACGCUGGCGGCAGGCCUAACACAUGCAAGUCGAGCGGACGAAGGGAGCUUGCUCCUGGAUUCAGCGGCGGACGGGUGAGUAAUGCCUAGGAAUCUGCCUGGUAGUGGGGGAUAACGUCCGGAAACGGGCGCUAAUACCGCAUACGUCCUGAGGGAGAAAGUGGGGGAUCUUCGGACCUCACGCUAUCAGAUGAGCCUAGGUCGGAUUAGCUAGUUGGUGGGGUAAAGGCCUACCAAGGCGACGAUCCGUAACUGGUCUGAGAGGAUGAUCAGUCACACUGGAACUGAGACACGGUCCAGACUCCUACGGGAGGCAGCAGUGGGGAAUAUUGGACAAUGGGCGAAAGCCUGAUCCAGCCAUGCCGCGUGUGUUAAGAAGGUCUUCGGAUUGUAAAGCACUUUAAGUUGGGAGGAAGGGCAGUAAGUUAAUACCUUGCUGUUUUGACGUUACCAACAGAAUAAGCACCGGCUAACUUCGUG